rnacentral:rRNA from 1 species
UACAGAGGUCCCAAGCGUUGUUCGGAUUCAUUGGGCGUAAAGGGUGCGUAGGUGGCGCGCUAAGUCGGGUGUGAAAUUUCGGAGCUUAACUCCGAAACUGCAUUCGAUACUGGUGUGCUUGAGGACUGGAGAGGAGACUGGAAUUCAUGGUGUAGCAGUGAAAUGCGUAGAGAUCAUGAGGAAGACCAGUGGCGAAGGCGGGUCUCUGGACAGUUCCUGACACUGAGGCACGAAGGCCAGGGGAGCAAACAGG